rnacentral:lncRNA from 1 species
CAAAAAUAAUUACAACCAAGUCAAAUUCAAUUAAUCCACACUACUAGAAAAAUAAACCUCGAGUCUUCAGCAACGGCGCCAAAAACUUGUUGACGGAUUGGCAAGCGUACCAAAUCGUUCAAGUAAUAUAAAUGGUAAGACCAAGUAUCGUUUUCCCAAGAGACUCGAAAGGCUUUCUCGUUCACGUGAAUUAAAAUAAUAAGACUUGAAAAUAAAAAUUAAUAAAUUGAUUUGAGAACAAAAAUAUUAACAUGCAAAAGAGAUUGAUUCAAAUGACAAGAAGAAAACAAUGGAUGAAUGGAGUUGUUGGGGGUUUACAAUUUCAUCUCUAUCCUCUCUCUCUUAUCUACUCCUCUUGAAUUAUUAGCUUGAUUAAUUAAUUGUCAUGCAACUUUCUUAGCCUACCCUUAACCCGAUCCCUCAGCGAAAAAAGCCUAAUAUUAAUUACUGGCUUGCUAUCCCUAGCCUCCCUUAGCAAUUAAUACAACAUUAUAGAGCAGAAGUUAAACGUAAUUGAUCGUCCUACCCCUAUCACUAGGUGGUAUUGCAAAAUCAAGGAAUUACUCACCAGUUCAUGACAUUAUUGUACGUCCCCGUAUAAAUAAAGACAAACAACAGUUAUCGAAUGAGUUAAACGAUAAAGGCAUUAAGCACAGAUGAGAACCCAACAAUUAACAAUCAAACAUAUGGAAACCAUAUAAAUAAUCAAGAGUUUCAAUAAAAGAGAAUAUCAAAAGAUUACAUUGUUUCCCCCAACAACAAGAGGGUUUAGUUCACCAUUUUCAUGGUGAAACUAGAUGAAAAAUGGAAGAAGAAUGGAAAAGCAAACCCUAGAAUAGAUGAAAAUGAAGGCUAUGUACUUCCCUGACUUAGGUCUAGAGUUUGGUUUGGAGAUGGAAAGACGAGGAUGGGAGAGACUGACGACAUAUCCAGCACCAGCUAGUAUUGAGUUGGUGAAGGAGUUCUAUGUUAAUGCCUUGCCUAGAGGAGGAGUGUCCGCAAGGAGAUGCAUGAGCUAUGUACGUGGGCACUUGAUCAGCUAUGAUCCUGAUACCAUCAACGCCUUUCUAGGGACUGAGUGGCCAGGAGAGUAGUGCAGGUAUGCUGCUAUACAGGGGGAGGACAGGGAUUAUGAGGACAUUGAGCGAGUGAUGUGCAUUCCUGGGAGGCAUUUUCAGAGAAACCCUAACGGAGCACUGGUUAACAUCCUUAAGGCAGAUUUAACUCCCCUAGCCAAAUACUGG